CGGUGCCAGCUGCGAGGUGCAGUGGGGCAGGUUAAUUCGAUAGCGCAGGUCGGGCCGCCAGCG
rnacentral:ncRNA from 1 species